rnacentral:misc_RNA from 1 species
CACAAUAAACAUAUGAGGCUGCACCGCCAACAGGCGGCAAGGCUGGAGUAUUUAUUACCCUUGUCUUUUGCGCACUUGUUGUUUCCUGGCGGGUUCGCCCGCCUCCAGGACCACAUGAUAAACCUUUUUUAUGCAGUUGCAAUCAGCGUCAGUACAACAAAUGUAAAUCAUUUA